rnacentral:rRNA from 1 species
CAGUCGCCGCGGUAAUACGUAUGGUGCAAGCGUUAAUCGGAAUUACUGGGCGUAAAGCGUGCGCAGGCGGUUAUAUAAGACAGAUGUGAAAUCCCCGGGCUCAACCUGGGAACUGCAUUUGUGACUGUAUAGCUAGAGUACGGCAGAGGGGGAUGGAAUUCCGCGUGUAGCAGUGAAAUGCGUAGAUAUGCGGAGGAACACCGAUGGCGAAGGCAAUCCCCUGGGCCUGUACUGACGCUCAUGCACGAAAGCGUGGGGAGCAAACAGGAUUAGAUACCCGCGUAGUCCCUGUCUCUUAUAC